CCUACGGGGCGCAGCAGUGGGGGAUAUUGCACAAUGGGGGAAACCCUGAUGCAGCGACGCCGCGUGUGGGAAGACGGUCCUCUGGAUUGUAAACCACUGUCCCCAGGGACGAAGAUGACGGUACCUGGGGAGGAAGCUCCGGCUAACUACGUGCCAGCAGCCGCGGUAAUACGUAGGGAGCAAGCGUUGUCCGGAAUUACUGGGUGUAAAGGGAGCGUAGGCGGUCGGAUAAGUUAGAGGUGAAAUCCCGAGGCUCAACUUCGGAAUUGCCUCUGAUACUGUUCGGCUAGAGAGUAGUUGCGGUA
rnacentral:rRNA from 1 species